AAACGGGGCCAGCCAGGGGGACUCGAGAGCGGCUGCACUUUCCUGUCCCCCGCCGAGGAGAGCGGAGGAGCAGCGGCCCGUGGCCUGGCGAGUUUCCCCGGAGAGGAGCCGGAUUCCGGUGCAGGGACGGAGCGAGGAGUCCGAGGUGCAGGAGGCGGGGGAGGGCAGGAGGAGGAGGAGAGCACGUGCGCCUGGCAGGAUGAGGCCCCGAGCCCAGCCAGAGGCUGCAGGGCGCCCCCCAACCGGGCAGGAAGGGGAAGGGGCGCAGCUGAGGGGCAGGGCAUCUGCAGGAGGGCACAGGGGCAAACAUCUCUGGCUCAGGCUGGCACGGACCCUGCCGGAGACCCUGGGGAGCUGCUCCCUUCAGUCCUGAGCUCAAGGGGCAGAAUGAGGGGUCCAAGGCAGCUGCUGCUUCCCGAUGGAUCAGCUGCGUAGCUGGGACUUUUGCCGCCCCUCUCCCUGUCCCUCAGCAGGGAGCCCAGCGCAUUUCGAGGGUUCUCCUCAGGGCGGACAGGGAAGGGGAGGCAGGGGGGAAAGGAAGAGCAGUGUAGCAGGGAGGUGCCCCUCUCACCCUGCAGCCCCCUGACACCCUUUGCAGGCCACUACUCCCUUCUGGCUUCUCCCCCGCCCUGCAGAGGAAGGGGCUAGCCUUUGAUUGGUGCCAGCAGCAUUGUUUCCCUCUGAUUGGUUGCAGAGUUCUUUUGUUGGUUAUACUUGCGUCUAUACAAAGUGCAUAGCUUUUGCCCCUCCAUAAAGAAAUGGGGAGGAGACAAGAGCUGGAAUAGCUGACCAGAAGGAAAUUUAACCUGGGAACUUCAUGUUGCUCCCCAGCUCCCUGAACCCAGGAAAAGACUCCUCCAGGGAGGCAGGUGAGCAUCACAACUAAACCCCACAUUAUGCUCUCCAGUAGCUAAUCGCUCAGACAGGGCUAUUUUCAUUCAGUUCUUUGUGUUUGGGGGGGGGUUUACCUUCCCUUCUUCCCUUGCAAUCAUGACAAAAAUGAAACCUCCACAGCAAUGCUUUUAGCCCCAGAAGAGGAGCUCCUCUUGGUGUCAAGGAAGGGGUCCAAGGGAAUGAGGAGUGAUAUACUUUAGCUCCCUAUUCUCCCAAAGAAGAGGAAGCACCAGAACAAGAGGAUCAGAAAGUUUUGCGCAGAUCCGAGAGAACAAUCAAGGGUGUACCACUGAAAAGGUUUUCUGAAGAGUUGGCAAAGGCUGCGGUCACAAGCAACUCUGGUGUGGGUUUUGAACCAGCAAUGAAGUGUGCUGAGAGUAGUAGCACAAAACGCUUUAUUUCCUUACCUGAUAUUUGAAGGAAAGCGUGUGUUUGAGUAUUGAAAGUGGUUUGUUCAAAUCUGCCCAAUUAGCAAUGUCAAUUUGUAUCUGUGAGAGAAACGUGUAUGAAGUUUUUUCUAGAAGCUGCUUUUUCGUUUGUGUAUUCACAAUGUGUAUUUUGUGUGAACUACAGAUUGAGGUUUGUGUUUUAACUCUUUCCUAAUAGACACAGAGUGGUUGCAGCGAUUGUAAUGAAUGUGAUAAAAGUGUCUUAGAUUAAGGGGGGAGAGAUACCUGCAGAUAUGUUACCAAGGUUGUAAGCAGAGAACAACUUUUGGAGUGUGUGUGUAAAUUGCAGUUAUAUUAAAGAUUAUUGGAAUGGUCAGAUGAAAUGGGGGAGGAUGAUGAGAUUUCACCCCUCCCAUAUCCAAGAAUCUCCUGAUGAGUCUGGUGAUUUUCCAGAGAGGAGGGGCGGUGUUCUGCUCUCUACUUAUUCUGCUCCAGCACCACAUCAAAGAGUCAGUCAGUCAGUCAGUGUGUUGGAGAGAGAGAGACUGAGUGUUAGAGAUCGUGUGUAUAGAUAAGGUUGCUGCUAAGAGCAGCUGCAGGCACUCAGUGCGGUUCAGCAUUCAUUUAUGCUUAGACCUCAUUAAGCUCUGUAUAUAGUUUUGUAUUAUAGCUGUAGAUAGAAUAAAGAAGAUAUUCUACAGAG